GUAUGUGGUUUAAUUCGAUGCAACGCGAAGAACCUUACCUAGGUUUGACAUCCGGAAGACCUUCCCGAAAAGGAAGGGUGCCCUUCGGGGAAUUCCGAGACAGGUGCUGCAUGGCUGUCGUCAGCUCGUGCCGUGAGGUGUUGGGUUAAGUCCGCAACGAGCGCAACCCUAUUGCCAGUUGCUACCAGGUAAUGCUGGGCACUCUGGUGAGACUGCCCCGGUUAACGGGAGGAAGGUGGGGACGACGUCAAGUCAUCAUGGCCCUUACGCCUAGGGCUACACACGUACUACAAUGGCGCAUACAAAGGGCAGCGAUACCGCGAGGUGGAGCCAAUCCCAAAAAGUGCGUCCCAGUCCGGAUUGCAGUCUGCAACUCGACUGCAUGAAGUUGGAAUCGCUAGUAAUUCGAGAUCAGCAUGCUCGGGUGAAUGCGUUCCCGGGCCUU
rnacentral:rRNA from 1 species